rnacentral:rRNA from 1 species
CCUACGGGUGGCUGCAGUGAGGAAUAUUGGUCAAUGGACGAGAGUCUGAACCAGCCAAGUAGCGUGAAGGAUGACUGCCCUAUGGGUUGUAAACUUCUUUUAUAUGGGAAUAAAACGUUCCACGUGUGGGAUUUUGUAUGUACCAUAUGAAUAAGGAUCGGCUAACUCCGUGCCAGCAGCCGCGGUAAUACGGAGGAUACGGGCGUUAUCCGGAUUUAUUGGGUUUAAAGGGAGCGUAGGCGGAUUGUUAAGACAGUUGUGAAAGUUUGCGGCUCAACCGUGAAAUUGCAGUUGAAACUGGCAGUCUUGAGUACAGUAGAGGUGGGCGGAAUUCGUGGUGUAGCGGUGAAAUGCUUAGAUAUCACGAAGAACUCCGAUUGCGAAGGCAGUUCACUGGACUGCAACUGACGCUGAGGCUCGAAAGUGUGGGUAUCAAACAGGAUUAGAUACCCGAGUAGUC